ACUCCUACGGGAGGCAGCAGUGGGGAAUAUUGCACAAUGGGGGAAACCCUGAUGCAGCCAUGCCGCGUGUAUGAAGAAGGCCUUCGGGUUGUAAAGUACUUUCAGCAGUGAGGAAGGCGGAGUCGUUAAUAGCGGCCUCGUUUGACGUUAGCUGCAGAAGAAGCACCGGCUAACUCCGUGCCAGCAGCCGCGGGUAAUACGGAGGGUGCGAGCGUUAAUCGGGAAUUACUGGGCGUAAAGCGCAUGCAGGUGGUUUGUUAAGUCAGAUGUGAAAGCCCGGGGCUCAACCUCGGAAUUGCAUUUGAAACUGGCAGACUAGAGUACUGUAGAGGGGGGUAGAAUUUCAGGUGUAGCGGUGAAAUGCGUAGAGAUCUGAAGGAUACCGGUGGCGAAGGCGGCCCCCUGGACAGAUACUGACACUCAGAUGCGAAAGCGUGGGGAGCAAACAGGAUUAGAU
rnacentral:rRNA from 1 species